rnacentral:rRNA from 1 species
GACGUAGGGGGCGAGCGUUGUCCGGAAUCAUUGGGCGUAAAGCGCGUGUAGGCGGCCCGGUAAGUCCGCUGUGAAAGUCCAGGGCUCAACCCUGGGAUGCCGGUGGAUACUGUCGGGCUCGAGUCCGGAAGAGGCGAGUGGAAUUCCUGGUGUAGCGGUGAAAUGCGCAGAUAUCAGGAGGAACACCAAUGGCGAAGGCAGCUCGCUGGGACGUGACUGACGCUGAGACGCGAAAGCGUGGGGAGCAAACAGG